AACGAACGCUGGCGGCGUGCUUAACACAUGCAAGUCGAACGCGAAAGGGACUUCGGUCCUGAGUAAAGUGGCGCACGGGUGAGUAACGCGUAGAUAACCUGUCUUCAUGUCUGGAAUAAUACGCCAAAGGGGUACUAAUACCGGAUAUUCUUGCUUUUCAUAAGUUAUGCAAGCAAAGGUGGCCUCUGCAUAUGCUACUGCAUGAAGAGGGGUCUGCGUACCAUUAGCUAGUAGGUGGGGUAAUGGGCCUACCUAGGCGACGAUGGUUAGCGGGUCUGAGAGGAUGAUCCGCCACACUGGCACUGGAACACGGGCCAGACUCCUACGGGAGGCAGCAGUGAGGAAUAUUGCGCAAUGGGGGAAACCCUGACGCAGCGACGCCGCGUGAGUGAGGAAGGCCUUCGGGUCGUAAAGCUCUGUCAGGAGGAAAGAAGUGUACAAUGGCUAAUACCUGUUGUAUUUGACGGUACCUCUAAAGGAAGCACCGGCUAACUCCGUGCCAGCCGCCGC
rnacentral:rRNA from 1 species